CCUACGGGGGGCAGCAGUGAGGAAUAUUGGUCAAUGGACGAGAGUCUGAACCAGCCAAGUAGCGUGAAGGAUGACUGCCCUAUGGGUUGUAAACUUCUUUUAUAUGGGAAUAAAAUGUUCCACGUGUGGGAUUUUGUAUGUACCAUAUGAAUAAGGAUCGGCUAACUCCGUGCCAGCAGCCGCGGUAAUACGGAGGAUCCGAGCGUUAUCCGGAUUUAUUGGGGUUAAAGGGAGCGUAGGUGGAUUGUUAAGUCAGUUGUGAAAGUUUGCGGCUGAACCGGAAAAUUGCAGUUGAAACUGGCAGUCGUGAGUACAGUAGAGGUGGGCGGAAUUCGUGGUGUAGCGGUGAAAUGCUUAGAUAUCACGAAGAACUCCGAUUGCGAAGGCAGCUCACUGGACUGCAACUGACACUGAGGCUCGAAAGUGUGGGUAUCAAACAGGAUUAGAUACCCUAGUAGUC
rnacentral:rRNA from 1 species